rnacentral:rRNA from 1 species
UACGGAGGGUGCAAGCGUUAAUCGGAAUUACUGGGCGUAAAGCGCACGCAGGCGGUUUGUUAAGUCUGAUGUGAAAGCCCCGGGCUCAACCUGGGAACUGCAUCGGAUACUGGCGGACUUGAGUGUCGUAGAGGAGGGUAGAAUUCCAGGUGUAGCGGUGAAAUGCGUAGAGAUCUGGAGGAAUACCAGUGGCGAAGGCGGCCCCCUGGACGAAGACUGACGCUGAGGCGCGAAAGCGUGGGGAGCAAACAGG